AGGGUUUAACCCCCUCCCCUACUA
rnacentral:tRNA from 1 species